UACGUAGGGGCCUAGCGUUGUCCGGAAUUAUUGGGCGUAAAGAGCUCGUAGGCGGUUCGGCAAGUCGGAUGUGAAAUCUCCACGCUUAACGUGGAGGGGCCAUUCGAAACUGCUGUGACUCGAGUCCGGUAGGGGAGUGUGGAAUUCCCGGUGUAGCGGUGAAAUGCGCAGAUACCGGGAGGAACACCAGUAGCGAAGGCGGCACUCUGGGCCGGUACUGACGCUGAGGAGCGAAAGCGUGGGGAGCGAACAGG
rnacentral:rRNA from 1 species